rnacentral:rRNA from 1 species
CCUACGGGAGGCAGCAGUAGGGAAUAUUGCACAAUGGAGGAAACUCUGAUGCAGCCAUGCCGCGUGUGUGAAGAAGGCCUUCGGGUUGUAAAGCACUUUCGGAGGGGAGGAAAAGAUGACGUUACCCUCAGAAGAAGCACCGGCUAACUCCGUGCCAGCAGCCGCGGUAAUAAGG